rnacentral:lncRNA from 1 species
GUCAUGUGUCACGGUAAGAUGUGUAGGAUAAAAAAAGGUGAUGGUCAAGCUCCGAUAUGAUGGAAGGCAUGAGAAUAUCUAGGGUGAAAUGUCUGAGUAUGAAAUGAAAGGUAGGUGAGUAACUGAGAUCACCCAAGUAUGCCGAGAAGACUAGACCCAAGGCGUCAAUAGCCCCAUAAUCCAUCGAAAAGCAGUAAUCACAAACAGGAAGUCAAAUCUCGAUGUCGAAACAUCCAACUAGAUGGCUAUGCCCCAGUAUGCAAUGAGGACAGCAUGGAAUAAUCCAAUGAUCUCCAUAUCCCUCGCCAGAUGCUCCAAUGUCAAGAACCAAUCUGAUCUCCCUCCAAAAGAUGGAUAUGCCUCAGUGUAAGGGAUCCAAUAGGGUGACUAUGCUCCAAUGAAAAAUACUCUCCAUCCUGGCUAUGCCCCAGUGUAAAGUAGUGUAUCCGAGUCAACAAAUCAAUCAAUCUCUACUCCUGGUGCCAAAACGGAAACAUCUCAACAUAAUCCAUAUGAAUCAGAAUCCCCGAGCUAUAUGAAUGUGAAUGAGGUGGCUAUGCCCCAGUAUAAACCAACUGAAGUGACUAUGCUCC